rnacentral:tRNA from 1 species
GGCUCGUUGGUCUAGGGGUAUGAUUCUCGCUUUGAAUGCGAGAGAUCCCAUGUUCAAAUCCUGGAAGAACCC